AAUAAUACCUGAUAGUCUCUACGGAGUAAAUGAUGCCUUCGGGUGUCGCUAAAGGAUGGGCUCGCGGCCUAUCAGUUUGUUGGUGAGGUAAAGGCUCACCAGACUACGACGGGUAGCUGGUCUGAGAGGACGAUCAGCAACACUGGAACUGAGACACGGUCCAGACACCUACGGGUGGCAGCAGUCGAGAAUCAUUCACAAUGGAGGAAACUCUGAUGGUGCAACGCCGCGUGGAGGAUGACGGCCCUAGGGUUGUAAACUCCUGUCAUUGGGGAGUAAGACUUAUGCGUUAAGAGCG
rnacentral:rRNA from 1 species